rnacentral:rRNA from 1 species
AACGAACGCUGGCGGCAGGCUUAACACAUGCAAGUCGAACGGAUCCUUCGGGAUUAGUGGCAGACGGGUGAGUAACGCGUGGGAACGUACCCUUUGCUACGGAAUAACUCAGGGAAACUUGAGCUAAUACCGUAUGUGCCCUACGGGGGAAAGAUUUAUCGGCCAAGGAUCGGCCCGCGUUGGAUUAGCUAGUUGGUGGGGUAAUGGCCUACCAAGGCGACGAUCCAUAGCUGGUCUGAGAGGAUGAUCAGCCACACUGGGACUGAGACACGGCCCAGACUCCUACGGGAGGCAGCAGUGGGGAAUAUUGGAAAAUGGGCGCAAGCCUGAUCCAGCCAUGCCGCGUGAGUGAUGAAGGUCUUAGGAUUGUAAAGCUCUUUCACCGGUGAAGAUAAUGACGGUAGCCGGAGAAGAAGCCCCGGCUAACUUCGUG